AACGAACGCUGGCGGCAUGCCUAACACAUGCAAGUCGAACGAGAUCUUCGGGUCUAGUGGCGCACGGGUGCGUAACGCGUGGAAUCUGCCCUUUGGUUCGGAAUAACAGUUGGAAACGACUGCUAAUACCGGAUGAUGACGAAAGUCCAAAGAUUUAUCGCCAGAGGAUGAGCCCGCGUAGGAUUAGCUAGUUGGUGUGGUAAAGGCGCACCAAGGCGACGAUCCUUAGCUGGUCUGAGAGGUUGAUCAGCCACACUGGGACUGAGACACGGCCCAGACUCCUACGGGAGGCAGCAGUGGGGAAUAUUGGACAAUGGGCGAAAGCCUGAUCCAGCAAUGCCGCGUGAGUGAUGAAGGCCUUAGGGUUGUAAAGCUCUUUUACCCGGGAUGAUAAUGACAGUACCGGGAGAAUAAGCUCCGGCUAACUCCGUGCCAGCCGCCGCAGUAAGAC
rnacentral:rRNA from 1 species